UGGGGAAUUUUGGACAAUGGGCGAAAGCCUGAUCCAGCAAUGCCGCGUGUGUGAAGAAGGCCUUCGGGUUGUAAAGCACUUUUGUCCGGAAAGAAAUCCUUGGCUCUAAUACAGUCGGGGGAUGACGGUACCGGAAGAAUAAGCACCGGCUAACUACGUGCCAGCAGCCGCGGCAAUACGUAGGGUGCAAGCGUUAAUCGGAAUUACUGGGCGUAAAGCGUGCGCAGGCGGUUUGCUAAGACCGAUGUGAAAUCCCCGGGCUCAACCUGGGAACUGCAUUGGUGACUGGCAGGCUAGAGUAUGGCAGAGGGGGGUAGAAUUCCACGUGUAGCAGUGAAAUGCGUAGAGAUGUGGAGGAAUACCGAUGGCGAAGGCAGCCCCCUGGGCCAAUACUGACGCUCAUGCACGAAAGCGUGGGGAGCAAACAGGAUUAGAUACCCUGGUAGUCCACGCCCUAAACGAUGUCAACUAGUUGUUGGGGAUUCAUUUCCUUAGUAACGUAGCUAACGCGUGAAGUUGACCGCCUGGGGAGUACGGUCGCAAGAUUAAAACUUAAAUGAAUUGACGGGGUCAUAGCUG
rnacentral:rRNA from 1 species